rnacentral:rRNA from 1 species
UACGUAGGGUGCGAGCGUUAAUCGGAAUUACUGGGCGUAAAGCGUGCGUAGGUGGCGUCGUAAGUCGGGUAUGAAAUCUCGGGGCUUAACUCCGAAACUGCAUUCGAUACUGCGGUGCUUGAGGACUGGAGAGGAGACUGGAAUUUACGGUGUAGCAGUGAAAUGCGUAGAGAUCGUAAGGAAGACCAGUGGCGAAGGCGGGUCUCUGGACAGUUCCUGACACUGAGGCACGAAGGCCAGGGGAGCAAACGGG